UACGUAGGUGGCAAGCGUUGUCCGGAAUUAUUGGGCGUAAAGCGCGCGCAGGCGGUCCUUUAAGUCUGAUGUGAAAGCCCACGGCUCAACCGUGGAGGGUCAUUGGAAACUGGGGGACUUGAGUACAGAAGAGAAGAGUGGAAUUCCACGUGUAGCGGUGAAAUGCGUAGAGAUGUGGAGGAACACCAGUGGCGAAGGCGGCUCGCUGGGCAGUGGCUGACGCUGAGGCGCGACAGCGUGGGGAGCAAACAGG
rnacentral:rRNA from 1 species